rnacentral:rRNA from 1 species
AUGUUUAAAGGUCUCGUCCCUGCUGACCACCGGUUCGAGGUUGUUGUGCCUAGGAGCUUUCCCAUGGUGUGCUUCAGGAUCAAAGCCAAUGGAGCCAUGACCGAGGAAGAUGCCGAGGAGGCCAACUGUGUGCUGAUGAAGAACCUGAAUAAGACCGGCAAGGCAUACAUUGCACACACGGUGGUUGGUGAUAGGAUCGUGCUCCGGUUUGCCGCAGGAGGAGAGGCAUGUCAGGAGUGCUUGGGAGCUCAUCUAGAGCACAACAAACAAGAUGAUGAUGGAAUGAGUGGUGUGCGCCUGUAG